rnacentral:rRNA from 1 species
CCUCUUGUAAACCUCACAUAAGAGGUCCCGCCUGCCCAGUGACCCCUGUUCAACGGCCGCGGUAUUUUAACCGCGCAAAGGUAGCGCAAUCACUUGUCCCUUAAAUGAGAACCAGUAUGAAUGGCUAGACGAGGGCUUAACUGUCUCCUUUUCCCGACCAAUGAAAUUGAUCUUCCCGUGCAGAAGCGGGAAUACUAACAUAAGACGAGAAGACCCUGCGGAGCUUUAGACGCCAGAAUAGAUCACGUCAAAUAUCUCUCUCAAACAGAUAACAACAAAUGAACCCUAUUCCACGUCUUAGGUUGGGGCGACCACGGUGAACAGAAAAACCCCCGCGUGGACUAAGAGCAUAUAUUCACAUUUAUCAAUACUGCUUCUCACAACCAUGAGCUACAGCUCUAAAUAACAGAACUUCUGACCAAAAAAAUGAUCCGGCAAUGCCGAUUAACGGACCAAGUUACCCCAGGGAUAACAGCGCAAUCCUCUUUAAGAGUCCAUAUCGACAAGAGGGUUUACGACCUCGAUGUUGGAUCAAGACAUCCUAAUGGUGCAACCGCUAUUAAGGGUUCGUUUGUUCAACGAUUAAAGUCUUACAUGAUCUGAGUUCAGACCGGCCGCCUGUUUAUCAAAAACAUGAUCUGAGUUCAGACCGGUCGCCUGUUUAUCAAAAACAUCG